UACGUAGGGGGCGAGCGUUGUCCGGAGUUACUGGGCGUAAAGAGCUCGUAGGUGGUUUGUCGCGUUGUUCGUGAAAACUCACAACUCAAUUGUGGGCGUGCGGGCGAUACGGGCAGACUGGAGUACUGCAGGGGAGACUGGAAUUCCUGGUGUAGCGGUGAAAUGCGCAGAUAUCAGGAGGAACACCGGUGGCGAAGGCGGGUCUCUGGGCCGAUACUGACACUGAGGAGCGAAAGCGUGGGGAGCGAACAGG
rnacentral:rRNA from 1 species